UGCCAGCAGCCGCGGUAAUACGGAAGGUCCUAGCGUUGUUCGGAAUUACUGGGCGUAAAGCGCAUGUAGGCGGAACAGAAAGUUAGAAGUGAAAUCCCUGGGCUCAACCUAGGAAUUGCUUUUAAAACUUCUGUUCUGGAAUUCAGGAGAGGAAAAUGGAAUAUCAAGUGUAGAGGUGAAAUUCGUAGAUAUUGGAUGGAACACCAGUGGCGAAGGCGAUUUUCUGGACUGAUAUUGACGCGCAAAUGCGAAGGCAUGGGUAGCAAUGGGGAAUACAUG
rnacentral:rRNA from 1 species